CUCCCCGGCGGGUGGAACCGUGCUCCGGCACGCUGGGCGGGGUUUGCGGACACCAGAACUCUGUGCUGGGUGGGAUUUAGGAAAGCCGCGAGUUCUUAGUCUUACUCCUCGCUUUGGCACGUCGGGAGGACUCGGUCUUGGACGCGGCUUCGGAACAAACGGGAGGACUCACCCCUGGGCUGGACUCUGGAACGCGGGUGGGCCCUACGUAAACCUUGGACGGGACUUUGGCAAACAGGCAGUCUCAGCCUACAGCCUGGCUUUGGCAAGACAGACAGACCAGCUCCUUCCUGUCUACCACCCAUCGUGCCCCACCUGGGAAUAGUGGAACCGUGAUCUGCGGACACCAGAUGUUCCUAAAGGGUCGCUUCUGAGGUGCUGUGCCUGAGGCAGGCUUCGCCAAGAAGAGCCCUGGAAGCCUUAGUUGUUCCUUAUGGUUUUGAGGCACUUUCUGGGAAUCAAAACGGUGAGGCCAGAUUCUGCCCCCCCCACUCCUAUGACUGGCAGCACCCCGAUUUCUCCUUCCAUUGGUUAACUGAAUGGCCCUGCAGGGAGCCAGGCCUCUAACCACCAUCCAGGCUAAAUAAAUUCAGGAACGAUUUGUACAGUCCCAAAGUGGGACAAGGUGGGAGAGCUUCUGUCUACUGAGGGGACCCUGCUUCUCCAAGGCAACCGAGGAGCACAGGCAGAAUGGGCUCAGCAACGUAGGGAGGCCUUCCAACUUACUCCAUCACCCUAGCAUUUUCCUCUAACUAGCCUCUGCCACUGCGUGUGCUAUCAAUCGUAAGAAAAAGAGCAGGAAUGAGGUUAGACACGAGAGGAGUCUCACUACCCUGGGGUCAGUGUGCUGCUCAGAAAGCAAGAGUAUGAGGGGCCCAGAGAGUACUGGGACCGUCAAUCCAGUGGUCUGGCUGCCCAAAUGGGCACCAGGCCACGACAAAGUUGAUCAUCCACCCAGAUUAGGAUAAAGUUUAUCAGGUUGGAUGGCAAGUACUCAGUCCAAAUUCUGGCUUUUAAAGUCGCUUUCCAUCAGGUGCUCCCAGCUCUUGGGAGGCAGAAGCCGGAGGAUCUCCUCCGAGGCCAGCCUGGUUUACAAAGAGAGUUUCAGGACAGCCACAGCAGUUACACAGAGAAACCCCGUCUUGAGAAAUUAAAAAUAAAUAAAUAAAUGGGCUGGAGAUGAUUUAGCAGGUAAGAUCACUAAAGCACUGACUGCUUUUCUAGAACACCCAAAUUCGAUUUUUGUAAACCACAUGGCUGCUCACGACUGUCUCUAACUCCAGUUCCAGUGAAGUCUGACAUAUCCUCUUCUAGUCUCUUCAGGCACCAGGCGUGCACAUGGCACAGACACUUGCAUGUAGGCAAAAUAUUCAGACACACAAAAUAAAAUGUAAAAAAACCCAAAAAUCUGAGCAUGGCGGUUUACACUUUAAUCUUAGCACUCCGGAGGAGGCAGGUGGCUUUGGCCUGGUCUACACAGGGAGUUCCAGGCUAGUCAGGCUACAAAGGGAGACUGUCUCAAACACUCCCAACCAAUGAACUUGUUUAAAAACCUUAAAAAAAAACCUUGGGCGUUGGUGGCACACGCCUUUAAUACCAGAACUCAGGAGGCAGAGGCAGUUGGAUCUCUGGGAGUUCAAGGCCAGUCUGGUCUACAGAGCAAGUUCCAGGUCAGCCUCCACAACAAUACAGAGAAACCCUGUCUCAAAAAAACCAAAAAAAUAAAAACAAAUAAAUGUUGUUUUCCUAACCUUAGUUGGAAAUACAUUUGGAUAACUUUUACUUCCCAUUAUGUUUAAUAGUUGCUUCAUUUUCUAAUCAGUAAACGUAAUUACCUAUGAAGCUUUAGUGUCCAUUUUUACCUAAUAAUCUGUAGAUAAUUUUGAUAACCUGUACAUAGUUCUGUUCCAGCUGUACCAUUUCUUCUGGAGUAUCUUCUCUGAUGAAAACAUGCAGUACUCACACUAUUAAUACAAGUAACUUCCUGUUUUGAUAAACAAUUGUCAUUGGGGCCCUGAAUCUUCCCAGUGAACCUCACACCUUACUCAAAUAAAACGAGGACUGCUCAUUUAAUAUCUAAACAAUAGUGCUUUAUUGAAAAAGGGUUAGUUUAAGUGGCUACAAAGUUGAUGUGUAAAAUGUGUUUUCAAAAUACAUUUCUACAGGUACAAGUUACUUCUGAGUGAGAGAGCAUUUAUUAGCAAAAGUGUAUGUUUAGACCUGGGUGGAAAACCUGAAGGGGGAUUUAGAAUUGUGGCUGCAAGAUCUUCCAGCACACAUUGCCAUCCUUAGAUGUCAGCUGGCCCUAAAUGGCAACCUUACUCACAAACAUGGGGCUCCCACUGAAUGCUUAGGAAUGCUUUUGUUUCUUAAAAUUUUUUUUCCAAUCAAAUUAAUGUCAAAAUAACCCAAACAAAGAACUGCAUGGGUGUACUCUAGAGUCAGCAACACUUUUCUUGGUGGGAACCUCACACAAUGAACCGCUGGCCAUUCACAGUGAUGCAACAGUGAAGGGGCAAAAUGAGCACAUUAUUCUCUGUAACUUGUAACGGACAACUUUUAAGUCUCGUUUAACUAGUAGUAUUGAUUUUUGGCCUGAAUUAAACAAA